rnacentral:rRNA from 1 species
GAUGAACGCUGGCGGCGUGCCUAAUACAUGCAAGUAGAACGCUGAAGCUUGGUGCUUGCACCGAGCGGAAGAGUUGCGAACGGGUGAGUAACGCGUAGGUAACCUGCCUCUUAGCGGGGGAUAACUAUUGGAAACGAUAGCUAAUACCGCAUAAAAGUCGACAUUGCAUGAUGUUGACUUGAAAGGUGCAACUGCAUCACUAAGAGAUGGACCUGCGUUGUAUUAGCUAGUUGGUGAGGUAACGGCUCACCAAGGCGACGAUACAUAGCCGACCUGAGAGGGUGAUCGGCCACACUGGGACUGAGACACGGCCCAGACUCCUACGGGAGGCAGCAGUAGGGAAUCUUCGGCAAUGGACGGAAGUCUGACCGAGCAACGCCGCGUGAGUGAAGAAGGUUUUCGGAUCGUAAAGCUCUGUUGUAAGAGAAGAACGAGUGUGAGAGUGGAAAGUUCACACUGUGACGGUAACUUACCAGAAAGGGACGGCUAACUACGUGCCAGCAGCCGCCGUAA